AAGUGAGAGAAGCUCCAGAGGACGAGAUACUCUGUCCACAUCUGUGAAAGAGCAAAGAAAGAUGUUUGAAGUUGGCUGAAUAUGUGUGUCUAAUUUGCAUAUAUGGUGUGUGUAUCUUGGGGGUCUGUUUUCUGAAAGCCCAUAGGUUCAUUUGGCUCCAUAACUUUUUUGUGAGGGAGAUGUUUCUUAAUUGUGGUGAGUGUAAUAGCUGUGCUUGUAUGCAGCUAAGCUGUACAGAGUGACUGAAGGGCACUGCAUCUUGUAAUAGAUGGGCCCUUAAACAGAUGCCACAUUGUGUGGUGAAGAGGCACUGAAAGUCCUGUGUGUCUGAGUUCAGACCAGAGCUACCUGCUGAAGAAGGCCAGUGACCUGCACAUUGUUUGAUUGGUGAGCAAAUACUGUUGGUGGACGCAAUAAUUAAAGAAAAAAAAAAAAAAAGAAGGCAAAACAACACUUAGAUUCUGGAAUGAAUUGUGAUUCUUCCUCUUUUGAGAAGUUAUUGAAUGGGGUAGAGAUAUAAAUAGGAUGAAUGAUAGGGUGAAGGAUCAGCCUGCAUGGAAACAUUGUUAGAUCACACAUCAUGUCACAAAAAGCUGAGAUCAAUUAAUAUACUUCUGGUAAUUUUAGCACCUGUAUAAUAUUCAGGUAUAAUAUUAGACUGCCUUGUAGUGAGAGCAAAGCCACAUUACCACAGGGUUGUGAACUCAGGCUCUUGAGGGCUGAGAUCUGUAUAACACACUGCAGGAUUGCAGCAAUAUUCAUUACAACUCAUCUAUCAAACUCUGACUCCUGAAGUGUUUUAGUAGUUCCCUGUGAGAAGCCUUUUUAAAAGGCACCUGACUUGGAGCAGCUGGGUUGUGACAGUGAGGUCAUACUGACUUGCUGCAAAGUCAGGGUAGAAGUAAAAACUUCCUUUACCUUUCACCACACAUUGGCAUGUAAAUACUUUCCAUUAAAGUAUUACGAAUUUUACAGACAGAUUGUUAUAUUUUAACUGGUGGUAUCAACAGCCUCUAAAUUUACUGGGAGAGAUACAAAGAAAUCACUGCAGUUGUUUGCAACUAUUUAACUUAAUAAAUGAGCCUUACACAGAAAAUGCAAGGAUGUGAAGGCGUUUGAUGUUUCUGAUGAGCAUUUUUCUCCUGUUAUGUAAUACUGCCAUCCCUUGCCAGAGGAGCUCUUGCAUCAGCCUGAAUUUUUACAUAUUGUAUGAGAUACACAGCCAAAGCUUUGCUAUUCUUGUGUGGCUCAACAAGUAUACUCUGUAUUUUGAAUAUCUUUAAAGUUACACAGAAAAUCAUGAUAUCCAAGAUACCUGAAGCUUCUGGGUUUUGGUUGGGUUUUGUUUGCUUCGUUUAUCUCUGUUCUAACAUAGUGAAACCCCACUCAAGCUGAACAUGUUUAGGAGCUGCAAAGCAUGUUUAAACCACUGUCUCUACCACAGUAUAGCAAGCGUUAUUACAGAUUUUUCAGAGUCCACGGCUGUAAGCAGAUACACGUCAAAGGCUUUGUAGGUAAUUUGUAAGCCUUAUGGAGAAACUAGGCUGUACACUUAGUUUUAUAUGGCUUAAUUAACACUGUACAUUUCAAUGCAUUUAUCUUAGCUAGAAUAUUCUUAGCAUGAUAAAUAGUGACGAGGCUUGCUAAUCCCACUUAGAAGGUGUAAAUCCUCAGGCCACAGAGGUUGAAAAGGAGACACGUGUGCAGAAGGGAAGUGAUGCAACCUCUUUAGUGACAAGGCUGCCAGAAAUAAAAAGAGCUAAGAUUCGCACAGAGCUCUUGAUUAAUGUUUUCAUGCAAACUGAAUAGCUUUGUUACCUAGUUUAAGCACGGGGCUGGUUGGAAUAUUUCUAUAUUCAUAAAAUGUAAACAUUUUUCCAGCAAAAUCAUUGGUGAACUUCAACAUCUGAUAAAUUUCCUAAAGCAGAUGUGGUUUAAAUAAUUUAUGAGUUCCCUGAUAAGACCAUCUUUGGUAUUGCCAUUAAUUAUUAUUCCUAUUUUUAUAUUACCAUGUGGUAAGUACAACUUCUCAUGUUAACUAUUGUAGUCUCUGCUCCUUCAAAAAUGGAAUUCCAUUUAAAAAAAAAAAAAAAAGGACAAAAAAGAACUCCAACACACCUUGACUUAAAGAAUACUAGUUGCAAAACUGGCAGCACCUGCUGUAGACCCUAUGAUCUCA